GGGAAAUUAAUGAAAAUAUCUUAUAAAUUUAACAAAAGAACAUCAAAACAUAUCUAGUAAAUUAAAAGGUUCUCCAUAAAGUUUUUGUAAGAGAAGAAAACAAGCCAACAAACAUAGGAGAUUUGCACAACAAUAUUACGUAUACUGUAACUCCAAGAUUAGCACGCAGAGAUCUCGAAUUCUUACAAAUUAUCCAAGAAAGAUACAAGGCAGAUUAUUUGAAUCCUAACAUAGAAACCAAUACUAAAUCAAAAUUAAUACACCUUUCUGCGCCGAGAAACCGAUGCAAGUAAAAAAUCAAAAUCAAAUCAAAUCGAAUUUGAAUCUCGUGCUCUGCCUUUUCGUCCCUUACUCGAGCCAAAAAUUCAAAAUAAGCUAAAUUAAGAAAAGGGUAUCAAAAUUUAUUUCAACCCAGAUACUAGAUCACCGAGAUUCAAAUUCUAUUUCCUGUAACUCAGGAACCAAACUUAAUAAACGCUAAAACUAUGUAUAAAU
rnacentral:misc_RNA from 1 species